GACGAACGCUGGCGGCGUGCUUAACACAUGCAAGUCGAACGGAAAGGCCCUGCUUUUGUGGGGUGCUCGAGUGGCGAACGGGUGAGUAACACGUGAGUAACCUGCCCUUGACUUUGGGAUAACUUCAGGAAACUGGGGCUAAUACCGGAUAGGAGCUCCUGCUGCAUGGUGGGGGUUGGAAAGUUUCGGCGGUUGGGGAUGGACGCGCGGCUUAUCAGCUUGUUGGUGGGGUAGUGGCUUACCAAGGCUUUGGCGGGUAGCCGGCCUGAGAGGGUGACCGGCCACCAUGGGACUGCGAUACGGCCCAGACUCCUACGGGAGGCAGCAGUGGGGAAUAUUGCACAAUGGGCGGAAGCCUGAUGCAGCAACGCCGCGUGCGUGAUGACGGCCUUCUGGUUGUAAACCGCUUUCGCCUGUGACGAAGCGUGAGUGACGGUAAUGGGUAAAGAAGCACCGGCUAACUACGUG
rnacentral:rRNA from 1 species